rnacentral:rRNA from 1 species
GACGAACGCUGGCGGCGUGCUUAACACAUGCAAGUCGAACGGUAAGGCCCUUCGGGGUACACGAGUGGCGAACGGGUGAGUAACACGUGGGUGAUCUGCCCUGCACUUCGGGAUAAGCCUGGGAAACUGGGUCUAAUACCGGAUAGGACCACUGCCUGCAUGGGUGGUGGUGGAAAGCUUUUGCGGUGUGGGAUGGGCCCGCGGCCUAUCAGCUUGUUGGUGGGGUGAUGGCCUACCAAGGCGACGACGGGUAGCCGGCCGGAGAGGGUGGCCGGCCAGACUGGGACUGGAGUACGGCCACGACUGCUGCAGGAGGCAGCAGUGGGGAAUAUUGCACAAUGGGCGCAAGCGUGAGGCAGCGCCGCCGCGUGAGGGAUGACGGCCUUCGGGUUGUAAACCUCUUUCAGCACCGACGAAGCGCAAGUGACGGUAGGUGCAGAAGAAGGACCGGCCAACUACGUGCCAGCAGCCGCGGUAA